rnacentral:rRNA from 1 species
ACGAACGCUGGCGGCGUGCUUAACACAUGCAAGUCGAACGGUGAAGCGCCUUCCUUUUUGGUGGGUGUGGAUGAGUGGCGAACGGGUGAGUAACACGUGAGUAACCUGCCCCCUUCUUCUGGAUAACCGCAUGAAAGUGUGGCUAAUACGGGAUAUUCUGGGUCUGUCGCAUGAUGGGUCUGGGAAAGAUAUUGUUUCGGUGGGGGAUGGGCUCGCGGCCUAUCAGCUUGUUGGUGGGGUGAUGGCCUACCAAGGCGGUGACGGGUAGCCGGCCUGAGAGGGUGGACGGUCACACUGGGACUGAGACACGGCCCAGACUCCUACGGGAGGCAGCAGUGGGGAAUAUUGCACAAUGGGCGCAAGCCUGAUGCAGCGACGCCGCGUGAGGGAUGGAGGCCUUCGGGUUGUGAACCUCUUUCGCCAGUGAAGCAGGCCUGCCUCGUUUGUGGGUGGGUUGACGGUAGCUGCAUAAGAAGCGCCGGCUAACUACGUG